GGGACGUUGACUUUGUAUCCUGAACUGAAAAAAUAUACGCUGUAUAUUGCUUGUAAGCUGUUUGUGGGCGUUGAUACUGCUUCGGAUGAGAACUUGGAAAAAGUUUAUGAGACCUGGAGCGAGGGGCUGUUAUCCAUUCCGAUUCGAUUUCCUGGAAGCAAGUUCGAUCUGGCGGUUCGUGCGCGUGAACAGCUUCUUACACGGAUUGAUGAAAUAAUUGACCAACGCCAACACCAUCCUUCUUGCGAUCGGGAUGUUUUGGGAAU
rnacentral:misc_RNA from 1 species